rnacentral:rRNA from 1 species
CUUUGCUAUCUUAAAAGUGAAGGAGGUAUAGGAUACAUGGAUCUUUACUCUUUUAAUCUUGCAUUGUUAUCUAAGCAAUGUUGGAGGUUAAUUACAAACCCAAAAUCUCUUUGUGCUCAAGUGGUGAAAGCAAAAUACUAUCCCAAUGAAGGCUCAUUGCAAGCUAGCCUCAAGAGUGACUCAUCAUUUACAUGGUAGAGUAUAAUGAAAAGGGUUGGGUGUUUUUAA